ensembl:lncRNA
AUAUACAUGGCCAUGUGUAAAUAAUGUAAGUGCUAUAACAAAACAAGCACAAAACAUUAAUUCUAAUUUCUAACUAUAGUCUAUACAGUGCAUCUUAAUCAUGAAUGCAAUCUUUAAGUCACAAUCAGCUUAUUCUAUCAUCAAUGUGCACAUUUCUAUCAGAAAUCAGAAAUAAACCAUAAACUAUGGUAGAUUUUUUUUACAGUAUUGCCCUUUAACUGAAUUAAAGGAGCAUUGCUUUACACUGCAUAGCAAUGAAGCAAUAUAUUAUUUACACUCAAUGUACAGAAUAAAAUUAUGAAAAGAAUAUACAAAAACCCACAGGCUGUAGUUUUACAGUAUGUGGUAACGUAUCAGCACAGUAAGAAUACACACAGACAUCUAUCCAGUGCCGCUCGAGCAUCAAAUGUAACAAAAUAAAGUAGAUUCAUGACCUUUAAGAUCAACAUUAACUUAUUCCAUCAUCUAAUUUUAGUGCAUUUAAUAUUCAACAAGUAAUACUAGAACAUCAUCAGCACACAAGCUGAGUGCUCAAAAUGGCUGAACUCCGUGAGAAACCCCGUGUCACUACCCGAUCCGUACCUCUAUGCAUACAAUUCUUCUGUAAGUACAUCACCAUUAUUGUAAUACUGCUUAAUUCCAUUUUGUAUUGUACUGAUGUUUAAAUAAAGAUUUUGAAAAAAAAAAAAAACCCGAUCCGUACCGGAAACCCGAUCGGUACCCCGCAUGCGCGAAUCUUACGUCACUUCCUCUCUGCCAACAUUGCGACAUCCAAUAUAUUUGAAUGAUACGGUUAGCGCCCAGUUAGCUCCUAGCAUUUCUCAACAGCUCUGCCUCCUUUUCGACUGCCCGGGACAUUUAAACAAUGAAUAAUCGGUAUACAAAGAAAUUCAUGCUUUUCUCCUCAACAGAGAGUGUCCCCCGAUUGAGCAACAGCACCGUAAAAUAAGGAGAAUGGCGCCUAAUUACAGAGUUAAUAAUGCAGACUUUGUAAUAUCUCACGUGUAGAUUCAGCAGCCAGAUGAAGUGUUUACUGACAAUUGACAGUGAUAGCGCACAUCAUAAUCAUCACUAUUCCAACAAUCCUCUCCUCACAGACAAGCAUAAAAACACUCGACUAUCGCUAAAUCAAAUUUAACACACGUUUGUAAUGACGCUAAUUCAGUUUACAAUAGGGUUUAUUCGCUCGGUCAGCAGGUGGCGGUAUCCUCGUACACUGGGGAGUACACUGCCAUUAAACGAACAGAAGAAGAAGAAAACAUCUGCACAUGCGCGGUACGGAUCGGGUAGACUCG